rnacentral:rRNA from 1 species
GGCUCAACUCCCAAACCCCUGUGACAUACCUUAUGUUGCCUCGGCGGAUCAGCCCGCGCCCCCGUAAAACGGGACGGCCCGCCGCAGGAACCCCAAACUCUGUUUUUAGUGGAACUUCUGAGUAUAAAAAACAAAUAAAUCAAAACUUUCAACAACGGAUCUCUUGGUUCUGGCAUCGAUGAAGAACGCAGCAAAAUGCGAUAAGUAAUGUGAAUUGCAGAAUUCAGUGAAUCAUCGAAUCUUUGAACGCACAUUGCGCCCGCCAGUAUUCUGGCGGGCAUGCCUGUUCGAGCGUCAUUUCAACCCUCAAGCCCAGCUUGGUGUUGGGAGCUGCGUCCGCGCACUCCCCAAAUACAUUGGCGGUCACGUCGAGCUUCCAUAGCGUAGUAAUUUACACAUCGUUACUGGUAAUCGUCGCGGCCACGCCGUUAAACCCCAACUUCUGAAUGUUGACCUCGGAUCAGGUAGGAAUACCCGCUGAACUUAAGCAUAUCAAUAAGCGGAGGAA